GCAUGGAUAUAUAUCAUAUAACAAGUUUAUACAAAGAUACAAGAAAGGACAAGGGUUUUGCCGACGUCGGAGACGAUGUCGGCCAGGUUCAAGGUUCGACCUUGCUGGACACGAGGGGCGCAGAUCAGCUGCAAGCCUGCUGCUGGCCGGGAUGUGCAGCAGGCAUCGGGACGGCGUCACAUCUUCGGCAAGGGCACGGUGAGGCCACUGCUUCCCUGCGACAGUGGAAGAACACGACACGAAGGCCGGUCUCAGCGAGGCGAAAUGGGAAAGGGAAAACUUUGGUCUGGGCGAGGCUCACCGGGGGUUUAGCUUGGCGAGGUCGUGCACAGGAGUUCGACGCGGUGACCGUGGCGAGGACGGGGACGUCGCGAGGGUGACCGUAGCAUGGCGAGGGCGUGGACGCGUCAGGGCUCGAUGCAGUCGUGGGCGUGGAGGCGGCUCACGGCUUGGAGCAGGGCUUGACGAGGUUGGAGUU
rnacentral:lncRNA from 1 species